rnacentral:rRNA from 1 species
ACGCGACCCCAGGUCAGGCGGGACUACCCGCUG